AGGGAUAUAGCUCAGUGGUAGAGCACUUGCCUAGCAUAUACUGGACCCUAGGUUCAAUCCCCAGUACUGCUG
rnacentral:tRNA from 1 species